GGCUGGGUAGCUCAGUCGGUAGAGCAGAGGACUGAAAAUCCUUGUGUCGCCGGUUCAAUUCCGGCCCCAGCCACCA
rnacentral:tRNA from 1 species